UACGAAGGGGGCUAGCGUUGCUCGGAAUCACUGGGCGUAAAGCGCACGUAGGCGGACUCUUAAGUCAGGGGUGAAAUCCUGGAGCUCAACUCCAGAACUGCCUUUGAUACUGGGGAUCUUGAGUUCGGGAGAGGUGAGUGGAACUGCGAGUGUAGAGGUGAAAUUCGUAGAUAUUCGCAAGAACACCAGUGGCGAAGGCGGCUCACUGGCCCGAUACUGACGCUGAGGCACGAAAGCGUGGGGAGCAAACAGG
rnacentral:rRNA from 1 species